UAAAGCAAGGAAUAACCGUUUCGUAUAAUUCCGGGAAUUGGCCUGGAAGUCUCUACGAGAUCACCGUAAAUGAUCUGGCUACGAACAAGAAAGCACGCUUC
rnacentral:ncRNA from 2 species